AACGCGAAGAACCUUACCUGGGUUUGACAUCCCCGGAUAACCCUAGAAAUAGGAGUUCCCCUUCGGGGGCCGGGAGACAGGUGCUGCAUGGCUGUCGUCAGCUCGUAUCGUGAGAUGUCGGGUUAAGUCCCUUAACGAGCGCAACCCCUAUCCCUAGUUGCCACCAUUCAGUUGGGCACUCUACGGAGACUGCCGGUGUUAAACCGGAGGAAGGUGGGGAUGACGUCAAGUCCUCAUGGCCUUUAUAUCCAGGGCUACACACGUGCUACAAUGGCCGGUACAAAGGGUUGCCAACCCGCGAGGGGGAGCUAAUCUCAGAAAGCCGGUCUCAGUUCGGAUUGAAGUCUGCAAUUCGACUUCAUGAAGCUGGAAUCGCUAGUAAUCGCGGAUCAGAACGCCGCGGUGAAUACGUUCCCGGGCCUUGUACACACCGCGUGUCU
rnacentral:rRNA from 1 species